rnacentral:lncRNA from 1 species
GGAAGAACGUUGCUUGGGCAAAAGGAGCAUAUUCUCAGGAGACGGGGCCCCUGCCUGCCACACCAAGCAUUAGGCCACCAGGAAGACCCCCAUCUGCAAGCAAGCCUAGCCUUCCAGGGAGAAAGAGGCCCCUGCAGCUCCUUCAUCAUGAACUGGCACAUGAUCAUCUCUGGGCUUAUUGUGGUAGUGCUUAAAGUUGUUGGAAUGACCUUAUUUCUACUUUAUUUCCCACAGAUUUUUAACAAAAGUAACGAUGGUUUCACCACCACCAGGAGCUAUGGAACAGUCUCACAGAUUUUUGGGAGCAGUUCCCCAAGUCCCAACGGCUUCAUUACCACAAGGAGCUAUGGAACAGAUUAAAGAGCUGUUUUUAGCAAUUCUUAUAGGACUGAUGUGCUGUUGAUUAAAUCCCUCAGCUUUUAUUUGUCUGGGAAAGUCUUUAUUUCCCCUUCAUGUUUGAAGGAUAUUUUCAUCAGAUACGCUAUUCUAAGUCUGCCCCAAAGACUGGGAAUUUUAUCAAGCAAGAUGUUUUUUCUUAUCCACUUCUGAAUCAUCUUGGAAUGAAAGCAGGGACUUUUGCAAAGGAAAAGGAUCCACAUUGGCAAUUGUCAACACGCCAGAGAAACUGAAGUUUCUUCAGGACAUAACUGAUGCUGAGAAGUAUUUUAUUGGCUUAAUUUACCAUCGU